ensembl:lncRNA
GUCACUUACUCACCUUGUCCAAUGUGUGUGUGUGUGCGCCUCUCUGUGACAUAAACUAAACAUCUAGCUGGCUAGCUCAUCAUGUCUCAGUCUAAACUAUACACUCAAAAAUACAGAAAGGAGUGGGAAUCAAACCCUGAAUUCAAAGGCUGGUUGAAGCCGUUAAUUGGAGAUGAUACACGGGCAUACUGCCUGUAUUGUAAGGCUGAUUUCUACUCAAAAAAUUCUCAAAAGGCAAACAAAGCAUUAUAACAGUUCCUGUGGAUAGGGACUGACGAUGCCUCUUAUGACGGGGAUUAACAAUGGGGUCCAUAAAGUGCUGGAGGAGGAGUAUGGCCUCAAAUAUCUGGUUCUUAUUCGCUGUGUGUGCCACUCUCUGCAGCUUGCUGUAAGUCAUGCUUCCAAUGACACCAUCCCCCGUAGUGUGGAGUACUUGGUACAAGAGACUUAUAACUGGUUCAGUGUCUCCAAAGCACUGGGGGGCCUACAAGGCCAUAUAUGAGACCAACUGUGGGGAGAAACCUUUACAGAUAACCAAGGUGUGUGCCACACGUUGGCUCUCCAUCGAACCGGUGGUUCAUGCAUUUUGGACCAGUGGGAGGCUGCAUUUCGCAGUCACCAAGUCCAGUGAACACUGCCACAUGGCUGAGGUUUUAUACUCCAUGUACAGUGAUCUUCAAAACAUAUUGUAUCUGACUUUUUUGAAGUCAGUGCUGGGUGAGGUACAGUUGGCCAUCAAGGCUUUUGAGGGAGAGCAAGUAGAUCCUCUUAAGCUACUUGACAGCUUGGUUAGCCUGAUCAAGUCUGUGAGCAGCAGGGUGCUGAAUCCACUGGCAAAUGUUGAUGUACUCAAAGGGCCAAUAGAUGGAUACCUCAGUCCCAAACCGUACCUUGGUUACCUUUUUGAAUCAAAGGCAGCUGAGCUCCACCUUGCGCCUGAGGAGGAAAACAAUGUCCGAAAGAGGUGUGUAGCCUUCACCAUCUCCUUCACUAAUGAGUUGAGAGUGAGACUGCCGGGCAACUUCGAAGCAUUGCAGUACAUGUCAGUUUUCAAUGUGGAGGAAACUCUAAAGCACAAUAAGAGCCCUGGAGAAAUAGAAAAAAAUAGCCAAGCUCCUUGGCUACUCCCCUGCAGAGAUAGACAAGAUUGUCCAGCAAUGGCGUGCCAUCCAUCUUAGUAAAUGGAAUAAGACAAAAAACACACUGGGCUUCUGGAGUGAGAUUUGGAAGUUCAGGGAUGCAGCUGAUAUCAACCCAUUUCAUGAACUUUCCAUGGCUGCUGUGUUUGUGUUGUCCUUGCCACACUCAAAUGCUGAAGUCGAGAGUCUUCAGCCAGAUGAGUGUGGUAAAAAGCAAACUUAGAAAUCGGAUGUCCUUGCAUACCCUUAACUCCAUCCUGUACAUUCAAUAUGGACUGAAGAUGUCUGGUGAGGCUUGCUAUGAGCACCAGCUGCCUGAUAAUGUUUUGCAGCUUUUUGGCACAUCAGCUGCUUACUCAUUUAAGUCAGCUCCCUCAGUUGCUGAACCUGCCAUAGAGAGCCUUGACCAAAAUUACGAUGACCCACUCUUUCUGUGAGCCAGCACAGCCUGUGUGUGUGUGUGGAGGGGGGGUCUGGAGAAGAAAAAAACAAUUAACCUGAAUUAGGGCCAGACUAGUUACCAUGAUUUUCUCACAUUGCCAUUGACAUUUUUUUCUAUUGUCUCUUUUUGGUCCAUUUUGAUUGUAUACAAAACAAUGUAAAAAAUGUUAUGAUUAAAAAUGUUUUACUGUUUACUGUGACUUGUUGUAGGCGCCGAAGUGGUCA